UGAGAAGGGCUGGUGUUGAGUGGGACUUGCACAUGAGUGAGAAGGGUUGGUGUUGAGUGGGACUUGCACAUGAGUGAGAAGGGUGGUGUUGAGUGGGACUUGCACAUGAGUGAGAAGGGCUGGUGUUGAGUGGGACUUGCACUUGAGUUUAUAGUGUUAUUAAGCUUAUUCCUUGGCUAACAUUGAUAAUGGUCUUGGCAAGUAUUUUUUAGUGGGUUUGGGUUGGACAAGGACCUGGCAAGUAUGGGCCAGUAGUCCUGCUGCAGUGUUCCUCCUUUCUUAAGUUCUUAAUAGCACAAAAGAAUUGUACACUGUUGAUGUUGCUUGUACAGUUCCCAUAAUGUUAUUCUCAGUAAUUUUAAUUCAAUGUACAGUGGUUGUGGUUAUACUAUAUCCAUUAUAACAGUUCAUGGGCUGGGUUAGGUAUAUUUUAUUAAAAAUAUAUGACAGCUUUGUAAUAUAGGAAGGCAACUCAAAAAGGCCUGAUAUUAAUAUUUUUACGUUGAAAGGACAUGGUAGGCUCUUAUGGCUCACGAAAUCAUCAUGACACGAUUGCAAACAAACCAUAUCACAAGGGGGGGUUAGAACCCGUGACAGUCUGGAGUUUUGAGACUCUGAUUAUGGGUUCUAACCCUUCCCGUGACAAUAUGCUGUGAUCAGUUAACUCGUAUAAUUAUUAAUAUGGUUAUUUUUUGUAUAUUGAGUGUAAUAUAUGUGUGUGUGUGUGUCAGUUCUUGGAAUAAAGGCUGACAGUCUUGAACAAAUGCAAGGGACUUCUUUUUUAAUCAGUAAAAGUACCCCUGAUGGAUAUAUUUAUCCUUGUAAAUAGUGAUAAGUUAUUAAUCUUUUAUGUGAAGAAUUAAUAUUACAUUUUUGUAGGUAAUAAGAAAAGUAAAUAUACAUCAGAUUAAUUGAAAUGCUUAUAAAAAAAAUCAGGGUGGGCAUAAUAAUGAAUAGGUAUAAUAAAUAAUAAUAAAUGGGCAUAAGAAAGUAUAUUGUGUUACAUUUAGUAUUUGAGGCAAGUAUUAAUCUAACACUUGAGCUAAAUAAUGAAUAUUUAAGAGACGUAUGUAAUACAGCCUCUCCUCACUUAAUGACGGAGUUCCGUUCCUAAGACCUCAUUGGUAAAUAAAUUUGAUCGUAAGUGAGGAUCGUACUAUAAUGGUAGUGGGUUUGUGUCAGCCAUCUUUGAUAUUGUUUUAAUGUCACCUUUGCACCAUUUAUAACAUUUCUGGUAUAUUUUUUAAAUGUUUAUGCAGUAGUGUUCUGUAUAUUGUAAUAAACAGAAUAGAGGAAAUCAGCUCUAAUGUAUAUUAAUUAGGUAUGAAUACUGGCCAAAGAGCCCGUCGUAAGUCUGAGUCGUUGGUAAACGAAUACGUUUCUAAGUGAGGAGAGGCUGUAUAGUAAAUUGUACAUAUGGUGAGUCGGGAAAACCAUAGUCUACAUUUCCGUAGCUUUUGCAAGAGAAUUGGAGAGAUUUGAACCAGAAUGAAGUAUGAUGAUGUAAACUUGUUGUACCAACACCCUGGCUAUGAUGACUGUAAACAAAUUAUACUAACACCCUGGCUAUGAUGACUGUAAACACAUUAUACUAACACCCUGGCUAUGAUGACUGUAAACACAUUGUACCAACACCCUGGCUAUGAUGACUGUAAACACAUCGUACCAACACCCAGCUACGAUGACUACAGUGAUAGUAUUCAUUAUCAUAGCCAUAGCCAAAUUGCUUGACACAGGUUCAAAUCCCAUCAUUUCUUUCAAAAUAUUGGGCAUUACAUUUACAGAAUGGCAUUCCUACUUUCAACUGGUAAUAUUGAAAGUUGAUAUUAUUUUUUAACUUGGGUAAUAUUGUGAAUAGUUAUGAGAUAA